rnacentral:lncRNA from 1 species
UUGGUUCGCGGGGAGAUCCAUGAUCUUAACACCACCAUCGACGAGAAAUUCAAAACCAUGGGCGACACUUUCAACAGUUCAAUGGAGGAAUUCCUUAACCGGAUGACAGAAAACAUGCAGAUGAUGCUAGCGGAACACGACGGGGGAUCUAGCGGAACAGGCGACAACCGUUGGGGAGCAAAUCUGCAAACACCAUUGUUACGAGGGGACCAUAGCGCAUCAGCACCGGGAUGGAACAUCAAGCUUGAUUUUCCACGAUUUAACGGAGGCGAUCCAACAGAGUGGAUGAGCAAAGCAAAACAAUAUUUUGCAUACCAUGAUAUGCCAAGG